rnacentral:rRNA from 12 species
ACAUUCGGCCAUACCAGGACGACAAAUACCCCAUCCCAUCUCGAACUGGGCAGUUAAGUCUCCUCGGGCGCGCUUAGUACUGAGGUCAGGGAUGACUCGGGAAUCGCGCGUGCUGAAUGUU